rnacentral:rRNA from 1 species
AGUGAACGCUGGCGGUAGGCCUAACACAUGCAAGUCGAACGGCAGCACAGUAAGAGCUUGCUCUUACGGGUGGCGAGUGCGGACGGGUGAGGAAUACAUCGGAAUCUACUUUUUCGUGGGGGAUAACGUAGGGAAACUUACGCUAAUACCGCAUACGACCUACGGGUGAAAGCAGGGGAUCUUCGGACCUUGCGCGAUUGAAUGAGCCGAUGUCGGAUUAGCUAGUUGGCGGGGUAAAGGCCCACCAAGGCGACGAUCCGUAGCUGGUCUGAGAGGAUGAUCAGCCACACUGGAACUGAGACACGGUCCAGACUCCUACGGGAGGCAGCAGUGGGGAAUAUUGGACAAUGGGCGCAAGCCUGAUCCAGCCAUACCGCGUGGGUGAAGAAGGCCUUCGGGUUGUAAAGCCCUUUUGUUGGGAAAGAAAGGCAGCAGGUUAAUACCCCGCUGUUCUGACGGUACCCAAAGAAUAAGCACCGGCUAACUUCGUG